GCCUAACACAUGCAAGUCGAGCGAGAAAGCGGACUUCGGUCCGUGAGUAGAGCGGCGGACGGGUGAGUAACACGUGGGUAAUCUACCCUCGGGUGAGGAAUAACUCAGGGAAACCUGGGCUAAUACCGCAUAACAUCCUCGAUUCUCAGAAUUGAAGAUCAAAGCUGGGGACCCUUCGGGGCCUGGCGCCUGGGGAGGAGCCCGCGGCCAAUUAGCUUGAUGGUGGGGUAACGGCUCACCAUGGCUACGAUUGGUAACCGGCCUGAGAGGGCGGACGGUCACACUGGGACUGAGACACGGCCCAGACUCCUACGGGAGGCAGCAGUGGGGAAUUUUUGUCAAUGGGGGAAACCCUGAACAAGCAACGCCGCGUGGAGGACGAAGACCCUCGGGUUGUAAACUCCUGUCGGAGGGGACGAAUGCAGUAGAGGCCAAUACCCUCUAUUGUUGACGGUACCCUACGAGGAAGCCCCGGCUAACUCCGUGCCAGCAGCCGCGGUAAUACGGGGGGGGCAAGCGUUGUUCGGAAUUACUGGGCGUAAAGGGCGCGCAGGCGGGCGAGCAAGUCUCUCGUGAAAUCCCACGGCUCAACUGUGGAAUUGCGGGAGAUACUGUUUGUCUUGAGUCCGGGAGAGGAGUGUGGAAUUCCGAGUGUAGCGGUGAAAUGCGUAGAUAUUCGGAGGAACACCGGUGGCGAAGGCGGCACUCUGGACCGGUACUGACGCUGAGGCGCGAAAGCCAGGGGAGCGAACGGGAUUAGAUACCCCGGUAGUCCUGGCUGUAAACGAUGAGCACUUGGUGUAGCGGGUAUCGACCCCUGCUGUGCCGAAGCUAACGCAU
rnacentral:rRNA from 1 species